GUUCCUUUGUGAAUAAAUCAUUAAGGAUGAACGCCUUGUUUGCAAUGGAGCGCGUGUUAAACAAAGCAAAUCGCGCCGACUGGGCAUGUUCAGAUAGGUCGCGAUUGUCACUUGCAAACUGGCAUGUCACAGGACACAGAAUCCGCUCACGCAGAAAGGGAUUUCGGAGCCGCCGAGACGGAAAAAUCCGGUCAGAUUGACUCCUCCAAAGGGAUGGAGGCGCACAGGACGAGUUCCAGCCCAACUUAUGGACAGGAACCGACCGUAAGCAUCGCUCGACCCAGAAAAAUCCAGGACCACUCGGGCAUAGUGGUUGUCUACGUUGUUUCCUCAGCCUGGCCUGAACACCAGCCCUGGAUCCCCGCUUCCUUCUCCGGCCGCGAGGCUUAGUUACUAGCAGGUACACCGGUGAUGACGUGGAGUAUUCCAAAUUUGGAGGGAAAAACUCUGUCGACCUAGCCCAGCGACUGGUUAUCGCCCGGUGUUUUUGCAUAUGUCGAGGAAUGACCAAGCUACGUGCCAGUGGAAACACACCGUUAUGACUGGUUUUGUGGUCCAGGGUCAUAUGAAUGGCUCAUUCCACAAAAUC